GUUCUUGUAGUUGAAUUUACAACGGUGGUUUUUCAUAUCAUUGGUCAUGGUUGGUAGCCAUGCUGGAACU
rnacentral:tRNA from 1 species